rnacentral:misc_RNA from 1 species
GAACGCACCUUGCGCUCCUUGGUAUUCCGAGGAGCAUGCCUGUUUGAGUGUCAUUUAAUUCUCAACCUUAUUAGCUUUUGUUGAUAAUGGCUUGGAUGUGGGGGUUUUCUUUUGCUGGCUUUCUUCGGAUGUCAGCUCCCCUGAAAUGCAUUAGCUGGUGCCCCGCGUGGACUGUCUAUUUGGUGUGAUAAUUAUCUACGCCGUGGAUGUCUGCAAUUGGUUUUGGCGCUGCUUCUAACUGUCUGUUCAUUUGGACAAUACAUGACAAUUUGACCUCAAAUCAGGUAGGACUACCCGCUGAACUUAAG